rnacentral:SRP_RNA from 1 species
GCUGGGCAUGGUGGUGUAUGCCUGUAAUCCCAGCUACUUGAGAGGCUGAGGCAGGAGACUUGCUUGAGCCUGGGAGGCAGAGGUUGCAGUGAGCUGAGAUCAUGCCACUGCACUCUAGCCUGGGCAACAGAGUGAGAACUUGUCUCAA